GUUGGGGUUUGGCUCUUCAGAAGAAACACUCACUUCCCUCCGUCUCCACCUUAACAGAACUCACUUCCCUCCAUCAUCGACCAUUGCCGCCAUAGGCCUUGCCACCGCUGACAGCCGCUGUCUGUCGUCCUACACUCAUUCAAACUGCAUUUCUAUUCUUCCACCUCAGAUUUGCGUUGAUAUCUCGGAUUCACCGUUGCCAAGGUCUUUCAGUUCCAGAGCCACCGUUGCUACGCCAUCCUCAGAUCUACUCUUUCGAUUGAAAUUGCCUCCGACUUGUAGCUAUGGACUCGGGAAUUCAGAACUUGAGGAACCAGGAGGUCGAAAGCGGUAGAGAUCAUCAUCACAAUUGUUCGUCGUUUUCGUGAUAGAGUGCUAGCCAUCGUCAUCCACUUCUUCUUGCACAUUGAUGAGUUAGAUCUGAAUAUAAAGAAGUAUCUCAGAGGAGAAGCUACUUCUUUUGAUAUAUAUAGUAUUAUUCUGGUUUCUAGAAUCAAUACGUUGGCAUCCAAUUAUAUUAUCUCUUAAUCUUAAUUUGCAGAAUUUGAAAGAUAGAAAUCUCAAGCAUCAGCUAUCUGUCAGAGAAGAAUUAUAUGGCAAUGCUACAAAAGCUGCUGCCAAGGCAAAAAAGAUCACAACAUUUAAUAUCUCAUUAGUUGUCCAUGGAACCAUUGUGAAAAAUGAUGAUUUUCAUAAGGAAGAAUCCAACCCAUAUGUUGUUCCCAUUAGCAUAGGCAUCUUCAGAGUCUUGGUUAGUCCUUUAGGGAUAACAACCAUUACAAUGAUUAGAAGGAUUGUAUCAAAUCACGAGGCAUUCCAGAAACGGAAUAAAAAGAAAUGGGAGAGUGAGAAGAGAUAGUACGACAGUAAGACUCAUGUCCAUGAAGACUGAAUGAUUUCUAUUGUUCUCGGCAUUAGACAUGGAAGCUUAGUAAAUUUGUAGGCCUUUUUUUAUUCUUUCUCUGUUAGUAAAAUGAAAUGAUAGUUCUGUACUAUUAUUCAAUUUGGACCAUAAUUGGACAUUGCGAUCU